rnacentral:lncRNA from 1 species
GGACGACAAAGAUGGCGGCAGGGACCAGCAGUUACUGGGAAGAUCUCAGGAAACAGGCUCGACAGCUGGAAAAUGAACUUGACCUGAAACUAGUUUCCUUCAGCAAACUAUGUACAAGUUACAGUCAUAGCAGUACCCGAGAUGGAAGACGCGACAGGUAUAGGAAAAACUAUCUUGAAAACAUUUCCCAAGAAAUUCUACCACAAACUGAAACUGGCUUUGUAGAAUUACUUCAGCCUAACUCCCCUUCUAAAUAAAAACCUAAGGCCAUGAGGAUCAGGAUUUGAUGUCUAUUCUAAAGUGUCUUGUUUGAUGCCCAGUUCUGAUACAACACCCCUUUUAAAUGGAUCAAGCCAAGACAGAAUGUUUGAGACAAUGGCGAUUGAGAUUGAACAACUUUUGGCAAGGCUUACAGGGGUAAAUGAUAAAAUGGCAGAAUAUACCAACAGUGCAGGUGUCCCCUCCUUGAAUGCAGCCCUGAUGCAUACAUUACAGCGGCAUAGAGACAUAUUGCAGGAUUAUACACAUGAAUUCCAUAAAACCAAAGCAAACUUUAUGGCAAUACGGGAAAGGGAGAAUCUU